UCAAGUCUUUUAUAAUACAAUACAAUUGUGUAUUUCAGAUUGAACAAACAUUAUUUAGGAAUAGCAGCGGGUGAAGUUUCGGUAAAAUCAGCAUGGUUAUUGGUGAUAUUUUAUUUGUUCAGUGGAUUGAUAAUUAUGGGAUUAUGUGGAGAACCAGUGAUUACUGCUCUCUAUUGCCUUGGCCUUUUCCUUGGCACCAUCUACUCACUUACUCCACUUAUUAAAGCCAACAAUCCUCUCCUGCUUCUUCCGUUACAGAUAUCAAAUAGUAGCAUUUGUCACAAAAUUUGGAGUUAGAAAAAUUGUGUUCCAUGGCACGUGUCUUCUCCUGCUCAUUUAUAUUGGUUCCAUUUUCGUGGCAAUUUGUGUUCCUCAGGCUUUCAGUUGUAAUUUGAUGGUUCCUAUUCACAUUAUUUUGGCAUUGUGGUUACUUUUCCAGGAUUGGAUAUUAGAGCACACAAAGAUAAAGGUAUGUAAAAUCCAGCAUAUGGAUAAUGGGAAUGCUUAACACUACUCAAUAACUAAAAAAGUGAUAUUAAUUAUCCCAAUAACAGAGCAUCAGCAUCCAUAAAAUUAAAGGGUUAUAUUGUGUUUGGUUUUUAUUUUCAAUUUUUUAAAUAACAUUUAAAAUUUUCAAAACAAAAAUAAGU